UACGAAGGGGGCUAGCGUUGUUCGGAUUUACUGGGCGUAAAGCGCACGUAGGCGGAUCGUUAAGUCGGGGGUGAAAUCCUGGAGCUCAACUCCAGAACUGCCUUCGAUACUGGCGAUCGUUGAGUCCGGAAGAGGUGAGUGGAACUCCUAGUGUAGAGGUGGAAUUCGUAGAUAUUAGGAAGAACACCAGUGGCGAAGGCGGCUCACUGGUCCGGUACUGACGCUGAGGUGCGAAAAGCGUGGGGAGCAAACAGGGA
rnacentral:rRNA from 1 species